UCUCUAUUUAUAUCUUUAAGAGCCACAACCCGUUCCCCCACCGUCCCCCUCUCUCUUGCCGAUCUCCCACUAGUCCAUUCCUCGUUCUCAUCACCCAAUUUACAAUCUCUCAAGGCUUUCCUCUGAGGAAGACCUAGCUAGGCAGCAAAAUCAAAGACGCGAAGAAGGAAAACCUGCCGCCACCGAUGGUUUCAUCAGCUUCAUCUUCCAAGAUGAUGGCCUUCCCCCUUCUUCUCCCCCUCUCCCUCUCCCUCUCCCUCCUCCUCCCCUCUGCCUUCGGUAUGUAUAUAUGCUUUCCAACUCCACCUUCCUUUUGAUGGCAAAUCAAUAUAUACUAAUCGAUAUGUUGUUGACGGUGGAUGAUGUCACAUGCAGCGCGGGUGAUCUGCGAGGAUCUACCGCAAGACCUGGAGGCCUUUUCUUAAAUAAUACAAAAAAAAAAUUAUUUAUCUAAAUAAUAUAUAUUUUAAUUUAUUUAUAAAAGUAAUGCAAAAGGGAUAAAACAUCAUUUUCAAUGAUAUUUUCACCCUGCCACGUUACCCAUAUUUUUCAUGUAGACGUCGUCCAAAAAAAAAAAAAUAGAAAACAUCAUUUUGAAUGACGUUUUUUAAAAACGCCAUUCCAAAUGGCGUUUCUUAUUUUUUUUUCAAAAAAAAAGAAAAAAAAUCGAAAAAAAAUAGAAAAAAAUAAAUUUCAAAAUUUUAAAUUUAUAAAUAAAUAAAAAUUUCAAUUUUGAAUGAAAUAUAAAAUAUAAAAAUUUAAAUUUUUAAUUCAAAUAAAAAAGAUGAUUUUAGAUGAUUUUUUUCUUUUCAAAUUAAUUUUUUUUAAAAAAAUAUCUAAAUAAAAAUCUUAAAAAUUUAAAAAAAUAAAAAUAUCAUAGAAAAAGAAAAA
rnacentral:lncRNA from 1 species